rnacentral:rRNA from 1 species
UACGUAGGGUGCGAGCGUUGUCCGGAAUUAUUGGGCGUAAAGGGCUCGUAGGCGGUUUGUCGCGUCGGGAGUGAAAACUCAGGGCUUAACCCUGAGCCUGCUUCCGAUACGGGCAGACUAGAGGUAUGCAGGGGAGAACGGAAUUCCUGGUGUAGCGGUGAAAUGCGCAGAUAUCAGGAGAAACACCGGUGGCGAAGGCGGUUCUCUGGGCAUUACCUGACGCUGAGGAGCGAAAGUGUGGGGAGCGAACAGG